rnacentral:tRNA from 1 species
GGGGCUGUGGCUCAAUGGUAGAGCACUCACCUAGCAUGUGUGAGGCUCUGGGUUCGAUCCUCAGCACCA